rnacentral:lncRNA from 1 species
UUUAAUCAUUAAAAGUAGUUUGAGGCAGGUAUUCUUGAUCUCAUUUACAUAUAAGGAAUAAAGCUAAAAAAAUAAAAAUCUUAUUACUUGUCCAAAGUGGCAGAGUUCACAGAGAGAGGUGGCACUUGCAGCCUAGACAUAUUCCCCCUGGCCACUGUAGAACAGCUUAAGGCAUGGUCCCUAUCUUUAGGAAGUUUAUCAUAUUUUUAAGAAAGCAAGACAAGCACAAAAAUGGAAAUAUACCAUGAGCGCCUCUGCAAAGUGGGUAUGUUUCCGGAGAUAGCUGACUGAUGGACAAGGCGAGACAGGCUGAGACAUUGAUUCCCUCUACACCAUGAAAAUGUCCUUAUCUGUUAGCCAAGAGGCUCAGAAAUAUUCUCAUCAUCCAUCCCCUUUCUAUUCAGUGGCCCUCAUUUAAAUGCAGCCUGAUUUGUUGAUAACCAAUGAGUUGGCACCAGUGUGGAAUAAGGAAAUGUAGCAUUUAGGAAGAGGAAUCUGGUGCCAUGGGCAAGAUAGAUUUAGACAAAGAAUCUGGGGUUUGGGAGAUCAGUAAGGAGGAAGUUGUAAUCAUUAGAGUAUCAGGAGAUGGGUCUGGACUGAAGCGAUAGAUGUGGGAUGGAGAGGAAGACAUUGUAAAAGAACCAUAGAGAGUAAUUCGGACUGCGUUGUUUAUGAGGGAUGAAGAAGAACAAUGACCAGUGACAAGUGUUUGACAGUGGCGUGGUGGAAGGGCAGAGCUAUAGCUGAAGAGGAAGGAGAUAUGCCAACUAUAACGUUCUACUUAGAUGAAAUAAU